GAGUUUGAUCCUGGCUCAGGAUGAACGCUAGCUACAGGCUUAACACAUGCAAGUCGAGGGGCAGCAUGGUCUUAGCUUGCUAAGGCCGAUGGCGACCGGCGCACGGGUGAGUAACGCGUAUCCAACCUGCCUUACACCCUUGGACAGCCUUCUGAAAGGGAGAUUAAUACAAGAUGUUAUCAUGAGUAAGCAUUUUCGCAUGAUCAAAGGUUUACCGGUGUAAGAUGGGGAUGCGUUCCAUUAGAUAGUAGGCGGGGUAACGGCCCACCUAGUCUUCGAUGGAUAGGGGUUCUGAGAGGAAGGUCCCCCACAUUGGAACUGAGACACGGUCCAAACUCCUACGGGAGGCAGCAGUGAGGAAUAUUGGUCAAUGGACGAGAGUCUGAACCAGCCAAGUAGCGUGAAGGAUGAAGGUUCUAUGGAUUGUAAACUUCUUUUAUACGGGAAUAAACGGAUCCACGUGUGGAUUUUUGCAUGUACCGUAUGAAUAAGGAUCGGCUAACUCCGUGCCAGCAGCCGCGGUAAUACGGAGGAUCCGAGCGUUAUCCGGAUUUAUUGGGUUUAAAGGGAGCGUAGAUGGGUUGUUAAGUCAGUUGUGAAAGUUUGCGGCUCAACCGUAAAAUUGCAAUUGAUACUGGCAGUCUUGAGUACAGUUGAGGUAGGCGGAAUUCGUGGUGUAGCGGUGAAAUGCUUAGAUAUCACGAAGAACUCCGAUUGCGAAGGCAGCUUACUAACCUGUAACUGACAUUGAUGCUCGAAAGUGUGGGUAUCAAACAGGAUUAGAUACCCUGGUAGUCCACACGGUAAACGAUGAAUACUCGCUGUAGGCGAUAUACAGUCUGCGGCCAAGCGAAAGCAUUAAGUAUUCCACCUGGGGAGUACGCCGGCAACGGUGAAACUCA
rnacentral:rRNA from 1 species